rnacentral:rRNA from 1 species
GACGAACGCUGGCGGCGUGCUUAACACAUGCAAGUCGAACGGAAAGGCCCCUUUGGGGGUACUCGAGUGGCGAAAGGGUGAGUAAUAUGUGAGUAACUUGCCCUUGACUUCGGGAUAACUUCAGGAAACUGGGGCUAAUACCGGAUAGGAAUCCUUGCUGCAUGGUGGGGGUUGGAAAGCUUCGGCGGUUUUGGAUGGACUCGCGGCUUAUCAGCUUGUUGGUGGGGUAGUGGCUUACCAAGGCUUUGACGCGUAGCCGGCCUGAGAGGGCGACCGGCCACAGUGGGACUGGGAUACGGCCCAGACGCCGACGGGAGGCAGCAGUGGGGGAUAUUGCACAAUGGGCGGGAGCCUGAUGCAGCAACGCCGCGGGCGGGAUGGCGGCCUUCGGGUUGUAAUCCGCUUUCAGCAGGAGCGGAGCUUGUGGUGACGGUACCUGCAGAAGAAGCACCGGCUAACUACGUG